rnacentral:rRNA from 1 species
AUUGAACGCUGGCGGCAUGCCUUACACAUGCAAGUCGAACGGUAGCAGGUUAAGCUGACGAGUGGCGAACGGGUGAGUAAUAUAUCGGAACGUGCCCAGUCGUGGGGGAUAACUGCUCGAAAGAGCAGCUAAUACCGCAUACGACCUGAGGGUGAAAGCGGGGGAUCGCAAGACCUCGCGCGAUUGGAGCGGCCGAUAUCAGAUUAGGUAGUUGGUGGGGUAAAGGCUCACCAAGCCAACGAUCUGUAGCUGGUCUGAGAGGACGACCAGCCACACUGGGACUGAGACACGGCCCAGACUCCUACGGGAGGCAGCAGUGGGGAAUUUUGGACAAUGGGCGCAAGCCUGAUCCAGCCAUGCCGCGUGCGGGAAGAAGGCCUUCGGGUUGUAAACCGCCUUUGUCAGGGAAGAAACGGUUGUGGCUAAUAUCCAUGGCUAAUGACGGUACCUGAAGAAUAAGCACCGGCUAACUACGUGCCAGCCGCCGCCGUAACAC